rnacentral:rRNA from 1 species
CGUGUAGGCGGUCAGGUAAGUGGGACGUGAAAUGCCUCGGCUCACCCGAGGAGCUGCGUCCCAAACUGCUUGGCUUGAGUAUGGGAGAGGAUGUGGGAAUUCCUGGUGUAGCGGUGAAAUGCGUAGAUAUCAGGAGGAACACCGGUGGCGAAGGCGCACAUCUGGCCCAAUACUGACGCUGAGGCGCGAAGGCUAGGGGAGCAAACG